rnacentral:rRNA from 1 species
UGUCUGGGAAACUGCCUGAUGGAGGGGGAUAACUACUGGAAACGGUAGCUAAUACCGCAUAACGUCGCAAGACCAAAGUGGGGGACCUUCGGGCCUCAUGCCAUCAGAUGUGCCCAGAUGGGAUUAGCUAGUAGGUGGGGUAAUGGCUCACCUAGGCGACGAUCCCUAGCUGGUCUGAGAGGAUGACCAGCCACACUGGAACUGAGACACGGUCCAGACUCCUACGGGAGGCAGCAGUGGGGAAUAUUGCACAAUGGGCGCAAGCCUGAUGCAGCCAUGCCGCGUGUAUGAAGAAGGCCUUCGGGUUGUAAAGUACUUUCAGCGAGGAGGAAGGCGUUAAGGUUAACAACCUUGGCGAUUGACGUUACUCGCAGAAGAAGCACCGGCUAACUCCGUG